UACGGGGGGGGGCAAGCGUUGUUCGGAAUUACUGGGCGUAAAGGGCUCGUAGGCGGCCAACUAAGUCAUACGUGAAAUCCCUCGGCUUAACCGGGGAACUGCGUCUGAUACUGGAUGGCUUGAGUUCGGGAGAGGGAUGCGGAAUUCCAGGUGUAGCGGUGAAAUGCGUAGAUAUCUGGAGGAACACCGGUGGCGAAGGCGGCAUCCUGGACCGAUACUGACGCUGAUGCGCGAAAGCUAGGGGAGCAAACAGG
rnacentral:rRNA from 1 species